rnacentral:rRNA from 1 species
UACGGAGGGGGCUAGCGUUGUUCGGAAUUACUGGGCGUAAAGCGCGCGUAGGCGGACCUGCAAGUCGGGGGUGAAAGCCCGAGGCUCAACCUCGGAACUGCCUUCGAUACUGCGGGGCCCGAGUCCGGGAGAGGUGAGUGGAAUUCCUAGUGUAGAGGUGAAAUUCGUAGAUAUUAGGAAGAACACCAGUGGCGAAGGCGGCUCACUGGCCCGGUACUGACGCUGAGGCGCGAAAGCGUGGGGAGCAAACAGG